rnacentral:tRNA from 1 species
GGGGCUAUGGCGCAGUUGGUAGCGCGACUCGUGUSGCAUCGACGUAGGUCAGGGGUUCGAGAUCCCCUUAGCUCCACCA